rnacentral:rRNA from 1 species
UACGUAGGGUGCGAGCGUUAAUCGGAAUUACUGGGCGUAAAGCGUGCGCAGGCGGUUAUGUAAGACAGAUGUGAAAUCCCCGGGCUCAACCUGGGAACUGCAUUUGUGACUGCAUCGCUGGAGUGCGGCAGAGGGGGAUGGAAUUCCGCGUGUAGCAGUGAAAUGCGUAGAUAUUGGGAAGAACACCGGUGGCGAAGGCGGCGACCUGGUCCGAUACUGACGCUGAGGCGCGAAAGCGUGGGGGAGCAAACAGG